GGAUCCGUAGCACAGUGGUAGUUGCGCGGCACUAGUAAUGCCGAGGUCCCGAGUUCAAAUCUCGGCGGGUCCU